rnacentral:rRNA from 1 species
GAUGAACGCUAGCUACAGGCUUAACACAUGCAAGUCGCGGGGCAGCAUGGGGGUUGCUUGCAACCCCUGAUGGCGACCGGCGCACGGGUGAGUAAAGCGUAUCCAACCUGCCCUUCACCACGGGAUAACCCGGCGAAAGACGGACUAAUACCGUAUGUUUUCCAUUGACGGCAUCCGAUUUGGCUGAAAGGCUUGGGGGAGAAAGUAUGGUGAUGCGUCCGAUUAGCUUGACGGCGGGGUAACCGCGCCCCGUGGGUACGGUCGGUAGGGGUUAUGAGAGGAAGGUCCCCCACACUGGAACUGAGACACGGUCCAGACUCCUACGGGAGGCAGCAGUGAGGAAUAGUAGUCAAUGGGCAUAAGCCUGAACCAGCCAAGUAGCGUGCAGGAUGACGGCGCUAUGGGUUGUAAACUGCUUUUAUGCGGGGAUAAAGUGGCCCACGUGUGAGCUUUUGCAGGUACCGCAUGAAUAAGGACCGGCUAAUUCCGUG